UUUGCCUACGGGAGGCAGCAGUGGGGGAUAUUGCACAAUGGGGGGAACCCUGAUGCAGCGACGCCGCGUGGGUGAAGGAGUGCUUCGGCAUGUAAAGCCCUAUCGGCAGGGAAGAAGCAAGACGGUACCUGACUAAGAAGCACCGGCUAAAUACGUGCCAGCAGCCGCGGUAAUACGUAUGGUGCAAGCGUUAUCCGGAUUUACUGGGUGUAAAGGGAGCGCAGGCGGUUCUGCAAGUCUGAUGUGAAAGCCCGGGGCUCAACC
rnacentral:rRNA from 1 species